rnacentral:rRNA from 1 species
GCGAAAACUUACAAUGCUGGCAACAGCGAUAAGGGAACCUCGAGUGCCAGGUUACAAAUCUGGCUGUCGAGAUGCCUAAAAAGCAUUUCAUAGCAAGGGCCGGGCAAGACCGGUGCCAGCCGCCGCGGUAACACCGGCGGCUCGAGUGGUAACCGUUAUUAUUGGGUCUAAAGGGUCUGUAGCCGGCCGGAUAAGUCUCUUGAGAAAUCUGGCAGCUUAACUGUCAGGCUUUCAGGAGAUACUGUCUGACUCGAGGCCGGGAGAGGUGAGAGGUACUUCAGGGGUAGGGGUGAAAUCUUGUAAUCCUUGAAGGACCACCAGUGGCGAAGGCGUCUCACCAGAACGGACCUGACGGCAAGGGACGAAAGCUAGGGGCACGAACC